rnacentral:rRNA from 1 species
CCUACGGGUGGCAGCAGUGAGGAAUAUUGGUCAAUGGGCGCGAGCCUGAACCAGCCACGUAGCGUGAAGGAUGAAUGCCCUCCGGGUUGUAAACUUCUUUUAUAAAGGAAUACAGUGAGGCACGUGUGCCUUUUUGUAUGUACUUUAUGAAUAAGGAUCGGCUAACUCCGUGCCAGCAGCCGCGGUAAUACGGAGGAUCCGAGCGUUAUCCGGAUUUAUUGGGUUUAAGGGGAGCGUAGAUGGGUUGUUAAGUCAGUUGUGAAAGUUUGCGGCUCAACCGUAAAAUUGCAAUUGAUACUGGCAGACUUGAGUACAGGUGAGGUAGGCGGAAUUCGAGGUGUAGCGGUGAAAUGCUUAGAUAUCACGAAGAAUUCCGAUUGCGAAGGCAGCUUACUAAACUGCCACUGACAUUGAUGCUCGAAAGUGUGGGUAUCAAACAGGAUUAGAUACCCGUGUAGUC